UACAGAGGUCCCAAGCGUUGUUCGGAUUCAUUGGGCGUAAAGGGUGCGUAGGCGGCGCGCUAAGUCAGGUGUGAAAUUUCGGAGCUUAACUCCGAAACUGCAUUCGAUACUGCCGUGCUUGAGGACUGGAGAGGAGACUGGAAUUUACGGUGUAGCGGUGAAAUGCGUAGAUAUCGUAAGGAAGACCAGUGGCGAAGGCGGGUCUCUGGACAGUUCCUGACGCUGAGGCACGAAGGUCAGGGGAGCAAACGGG
rnacentral:rRNA from 1 species